rnacentral:miRNA from 1 species
GGUUUCUCUGUGUAGCUUUGGAGCCUAUCCUGGCACUCACUCUGGAGACCAGGCUGACCUCGAACUCACAGAGACCUGCCUGCCUCUGCCUCCCGAGUGCUGGGAUUAAAGGCGUGCGCCACCAAUGCCGG